rnacentral:rRNA from 1 species
UUCAUCGAUGAAGAACGCAGCGAAAUGCGAUAAGUAAUGUGAAUGCAGAAAUUCAGUGAAUCAUCGAAUCUUUGAAGCGCACCUUGCGCUCCUUGGUAUUCCGAGGAGCAUGCCUGUGUGAGCGUCAUGA